GGUUAGAGUGUAGAGGUGGCAGGUAGCCUAGUGGUUAGAGUGUAGAGGUGGCAGGGUAGCCUAGUGGUUAGAGUGUAGAGGUGGCAGGUAGCCUAGUGGUUAGAGAGUAGAGGUGGCAGGUAGCCUAGGGGUUAGAGUGUAGAGGUGGCAGGUAGCCUAGUGGUUAGAGUGUAGAGGUGGCAGGUAGCCUAGUGGUUAGAGUGUAGAGGUGGCAGGUAGCCUAGUGGUUAGAGUGUAGAGGUGGCAGGUAGCCUAGUGGUUAGAGUGUAGAGGUGGCAGGUAGCCUAGUGGUUAGAGCAUUGG
ensembl:lncRNA